rnacentral:rRNA from 1 species
UGAGACCUCAGGUCAGGCGGGGCUACCCGCUGAAUUUAAGCAUAUCAAUAAGCGGAGGAAAAGAAACUAACAAGGAUUCCCUUAGUAACGGCGAGCGAACCGGGAUAAGCCCACCAUGAGAAUCGGUCGC